CUUCUUUCUUUCGCCUCUCUGAGCAACAGGAAUCAGAGAAUCAUCAAACGGAGACGUGAAAGUGAUGAAUCUCAAGCUGGAUUAUGGAAUCUGUCUUAUGCUAUGGAAAAAAGCUAAAGAAAAUAAUGAUCAGCAAUAGCUUGAAUCACCCGUUCAGUUAUAGUAAUCAGGUGAUGAGUUAAUUAUGGUGAAUGAGUUAGAAGUGAUGAAUUAAAAAUUGGAGGCAAGAAAAGUGGUGAUGGGAUGUUGUUCGUUUUUAAUAUCUGGGUAUUAUUCAUUGAUUUACAUCUCUGAGUAUGUCAAAUUGUUGGUUCAUCGGUUCCGAGAAUUGAUGGAUUGUCAAAUUUCACUGGCGCUGAGAAUUCAGGUGGUCCUCCAAUGCAUGCAGUUCAACCAGCCAUGGCAGGGAAGAAUACAGCUGCCAGUUUGACUGUGAAAGAAGCAAUAAUAAAAGAAACACCUUCAACUAAAAUUGAGAAUUCCAGCAGUAGACCUCCAGCAUCAUAUGGUGCAAGAUAAAGGGUUAUGGAAAAAUUGCAGCGAUCCAGAAGCAUGUCUUUUAGUCUGAGUCGCGUGAUAGGAAGGAUCUCCAGCUUGCAUGCAGUUGCUGCUACGUUGCGAUCUCUCUAUGUCACCUCCAAUAGUUAGAAACCUUUAUCCAAAGUCUGUUACUCCUGGAUGCAGCAAGGCUGGAUUGAAAAUCAGCAGCUAUAGCAGCGAUCACAGUGAGCAACCAGCACCAACACCAGCAAGUGCUCCAUCUAAACAAAUUGGUUAAUAUUAAUAGCAUUUCAGUUUCAUUUGUGUAAUUGAUAUAAUUUGUCUACUCUUCUGACUUCUCUUUUUGAUGCCAUGUUACAAAAACAACUACACUCCAAGCGAGCUAGAGAGAAAUUCUGAUAGGAACCCUACACAGCGCACUGAUCUUAUAGAAUCUAAAAGAUGAACUGCUUAGGCUUCACAGGCCCGAUUCGCAGGUAUACAUAUCAAUGAGAUAUCAAUUGAGUGUUACCUCCGCAAAAAAUGGUAAUGAAGCCCCUCAAAAUCACUUUCAAAAUUAUCUGCAAGACCUAAGACGGACAACUUUCCUCCCAUCACAUCAACAGAGUGAUUUUUCACGGUCGAGGAGUUCAAAAAAUCGUUAACGAGUACAAAAUACUGGGAGGGAUUAUGGAAGCUUGGUGCAAAGUUUGUAUAGACUCGUAGGGGUUCAAUGGAGAACACAGUCUUCGGCUGGAAAACCUACUGAAUGUUCCACAGUACUGGGUCUCAAGGUGGUGGUCAGGAAAGAACUGGGAAAUGUAGGAGGAAAAGGUGUGCAUCUUAGGAGCACUGCAUUAGCUGAUGUAUGAUUUAACAGCGUUUGUAUGAAAGAUUCCGCAUGUAAAAUUCCAUAUGCCCAUACAAAUUUUUGCUUCGAAGGUUGCCAUCCAUAUGAGUUAAUACCCUUAAGUUAAGUGGAAUCAGAUUGGGGAUGUCACCAGCAAUAAUAUUUGGUUUUGAAACACUCAUCUUAGUUUCCCUUCACGAAUCGUGAUACAAUAUUCAUGAACCAGCAAAGCAUAGUUCAUCAUGUGCCAGUGCAUUUACAAUGACAAGUCCUCGGAAGAUGGUUAUGGCAGCUGUCUUCUCUCGAAUUCAGGCAAGUCGGCACAUAAUUGAAGAAUGAAGAUAUAUUAUGCCAAUUUGAAAAUAGUUGACUUCGUGUCAAGUGCAAGCCUUUAGUGGUCCAUAUUUGGUUUUUGUAUUACAUUCUCCGUGUCUUUCUACUUUCACUGGCUUUAAUGCUUUGAGAUAUUAUUGCUUCAUUUAGGCUAAAAAAGAGGCAUAAAAGACCUUGAAUGAAUGUGUAUCAUAUUAAUAUCGGGAAAAUAAGAUACGUUUACACAAGGUAAAUCUAAACAAUGAUGAUUGAUGAUUCUCGGCUUUACAUUAAUAUUAUAUUGUAGAUAUGGGUAUGAA